rnacentral:rRNA from 1 species
CGUCACAGCUGCACGCUAUUAACGUACAACCUUUCUUCCCAAUUGAAAGUGCUUUACAACCCUAAGGCCUUCUUCACACACGCGGCAUGGCUGCGUCAGGCUUUCGCCCAUUGCGCAAUAUUCCCCC